AUGAAUGCUGGCGGCGUGGAUAAGGCAUGCAAGUCGAACGGGUAGCAAUACCAGUGGCAGACGAGGUAGUAACACGUACGAACUCACCCCAGAGUCUGGCAUAGCUCGUCGAAAGACGGGGUAAUUCCAGAUGGUCCGGAAACGGUAAAGAUUUAUCGCUCUGGGAGAGGCGUGCGUCAUAUCAGCUUGUUGGUAGGGUAAUGGCCUACCAAGGCUACGACGUGUAGGGGAGCUGAGAGGCUGACCCCCACCGAUGGGACUGAGACACGGCCCAUACUCCUACGGGAGGCCGCAGUCGAGAAUCUUCCGCAAUGGGCGAAAGCCUGACGGAGCGACGCCGCGUGAUGGACGAAGUGGUUCGCCACGUAAACAUCUUUUAUGAGGGACGAAAUUAUUGACGGUACCUCAGGAAUAAGGGGCUCCAACUCUGUGCCAGCAGGAGCGGUAAUACAGAGGCCCCAAGCAUUAUCCGGAAUCACUGGGCGUAAAGGGUGUCGAGGCGGUUAUGUUAGUCGAUCGUAAAAUCCGUGGGCUCAACCUACGGUCCGCGAUCGAAACGGCAUAACUAGAGGUCAGGAGAGGUGCAUGGAACUCAUGGUGUAGGGGUGAAAUCCGUUGAUAUCAUGGGGAACACCAAAGGCGAAGGCAGUGCACUGGCCUGAAUCUGACGCUCACACACGAAAGCCAGGGUAGCGAACGGGAUUAGAUACCCCGGUAGUCCUGGCCCUAAACGCUGCUCGCUCGUUCUACGGAGUAUCGACCCUCUGUGGGACUAAGCUAACGCGGUAAGCGAGCCGCCUGGGUAGUACGAUCGCAAGAUUAAAACUCAAAGGAAUAGACGGGGACUCGCACAAGCGGUGGAUCAUGUGGCUUAAUUCGUCGAUAAGCGAAGAACCUUACCAGGGCUAGAAACCAAGCUGCAUCCGACCUGAAAGGGACAGAGCCUUCGAGGGUGCUUGGCAGGUGAUGCAUGGUUGUCGUCAGUUCGUGGCUUGAGCUGUUCCCUUCAGUGGGGUAACGAACGCAACCCUCGUUGUCUGUUAUUUAUGUCAGGCGAGACUGCCCCCUCACGGGGGAGGAAGGUGAGGAUGACGCCAAAUCAGCAUGUCCCUUGAUGCCCUGGGCUGCACACGUGAUACAAUGGGUGGUACAGAAAGACGCAAUACCGCAAGGUGGAGCAAAUCUCCAAAACCACCCCCAGUACGGAUAGGGGUCUGCAACCGACCCCUUGAAGCCGGAAUCGCUAGUAAUCGUAGGUCAGCCAUACUACGGUGAAUACGUUCUCGAGUCUUGUACUCACCGCCCGUCAACUCAAGGAAGUUGGGGGUACCCGAUAUCUGGGCUUGACCCGGACUACGGUAAACUCAAUGACAGGGAGU
rnacentral:rRNA from 1 species